rnacentral:rRNA from 1 species
AUAUCAAUAAGCGGAGGAAAAGAAACCAACAGGGAUUGCCUUAGUAGCGGCGAGUGAAGCGGCAAGAGCUCAAAUUUGAAAUCUGGUACCUUCGGUGCCCGAGUUGUAAUUUGAAGAAUACUAUCUUGGAAUUGGUCCUUGUCUAUGUUCCUUGGAACAGGACGUCACAGAGGGUGAGAAUCCCGUGCGAUGAGGAUACCUUUUCUUUAUAAGAUGUGUUCGACGAGUCGAGUUGUUUGGGAAUGCAGCUCUAAGUGGGUGGUAAAUUCCAUCUAAAGCUAAAUAUUGGCGAGAGACCGAUAGCGAACAAGUACAGUGAUGGAAAGAUGAAAAGAACUUUGAAAAGAGAGUGAAAAAGUACGUGAAAUUGUUGAAAGGGAAGGGUAUUUGAUCAGACUUGGUAUUUGGGUAUCUCUUCUCCUUGUGGGAGGGGCUCUAGCCUUUUACUGGGCCAGCAUCAGUUCUUGUGGCAAGAUAAUCGCAGUUGAAUGUGGCUCUUCGGAGUGUUAUAGCUUCUGUUGAUGUUGCCUACGGGGACUGAGGUCUGCGGGUUUUCCCUAGGAUGCUGGCGUAAUGA